rnacentral:tRNA from 1 species
GGACGAAUGGCUGAACCGAAGGCGACAGACUGUAGAUUUGUUUAUGGAUUUUAAAUUCUUUGUUCA